AACGCGAAGAACCUUACCAAAUCUUGACAUCCCGAUGACAGACUGUGUAAAGCAGUUUCUCUUCGGAGCAUCGGUGACAGGUGGUGCAUGGUUGUCGUCAGCUCGUGUCGUGAGAUGUUGGGUUAAGUCCCGCAGCGAGCGCAACCCUUGUCUUUAGUAGCCAGCAUUUAGGAUGGGCACUCUAGAGAGACUGCCAGGGAUAACCUGGAGGAAGGUGGGGAUGACGUCAAAUCAUCAUGCCCCUUAUGAUUUGGGCUACACACGUGCUACAAUGGCGUAAACAAAGAGAAGCAAAGGAGUGAUCCGGAGCAAAUCUCAAAAAUAACGUCUCAGUUCGGAUUGUAGUCUGCAACUCGACUACAUGAAGCUGGAAUCGCUAGUAAUCGCGAAUCAGAAUGUCGCGGUGAAUACGUUCCCGGGUCUUGUACACACGC
rnacentral:rRNA from 1 species